UACGUAGGGACCGAGCGUUGUCCGGAAUCAUUGGGCGUAAAGAGCGUGUAGGCGGCUAUUUAAGUCCUGCGUGAAAUCCUGCGGCUCAACCGCAGACGGUCGUGGGAAACUGGAUGGCUAGAGUGCGGGAGAGGAGAGUGGAAUUCCCGGUGUAGCGGUGAAAUGCGCAGAUAUCGGGAAGAACACCCGUGGCGAAGGCAGGUCUCUGGGCCACUACUGACGCUGAGAAGCGAAAGCGUGGGGAGCGAACAGG
rnacentral:rRNA from 1 species